GAAGCGGUUAUGUAAUCAUCUGGCUGGAAGAAUACCUCCUUCUUUACAUACUAUCAUGAGACACACUGUGUGGGGUGCUGCGUUUCAACCAUGUGUUUAGUCUGGAGAUAUCACUUCAUUCUUCAAACAGAGGAGGACAGCCAAAGCCUCCUGACCCCUUUUUUAUUCCUCAGUGAAACAAAAGAGUGACAUAAAACGACCAACACCCACAAUGAAAGUCAUAAAACUAUUAAACAUAGCGGAAAAACUUGAUGCAGGUAGCUUUCUGGGCAGAUUUGAACCCUUACUCUUCCUCUGACCCAUCUUCAGAGUUGUUUUCUGCCUCUCCUUGUUUUCAAUCAGAACCUGUAUUUUGUAUUUUUACAGCUGGUUAAAUGAUCAACACAGCUGACUCAGAUGGGGCUUGUGGAUCAGAAGGUCAACUUGUUGACAACUCAGUGGGUGAGUGUGUACUCUGACAUUAUAACCCAAAAUAUAGAGUUACACUGUAAUAAAAAGAAAGGUUGGGGAUGGGAAAC